rnacentral:piRNA from 1 species
UGCUAGACAAGUCCUGAGGCACUGAG